rnacentral:rRNA from 1 species
UACGUAGGGUGCAAGCGUUGUCCGGAAUUAUUGGGCGUAAAGAGCUCGUAGGCGGCUUGUCGCGUCUGCUGUGAAAACCUAGGGCUUAACUCUGGGCGUGCAGUGGGUACGGGCAGGCUAGAGUGCGGUAGGGGAGACUGGAAUUCCUGGUGUAGCGGUGAAAUGCGCAGAUAUCAGGAGGAACACCGGUGGCGAAGGCGGGUCUCUGGGCCGUAACUGACGCUGAGGAGCGAAAGCAUGGGGAGCGAACAGG